rnacentral:rRNA from 1 species
GAUGAACGCUGGCGGCGUGCCUAAUACAUGCAAGUCGAGCGAACCGUCGAGAUGCUUGCUUCUAUGAUUUUAGCAGCGGUCGGGUGAUUAACACGGGGUUAACCUACCUAUACGACUGGGAUACCAUUGGGAAACCGUGGCUAAUACCCGAAAAUAUUUUGCACCGCAUUGUUCAAAAGUGAAAGACGGUCUUGCGGUCACUUAUAGCUGACUCAGCCCUGCAUUAGCUAGUUGGUAAGGUAAAGGAUUACCAAGGCAAGGAGGCAUACCCGCCCUGAGCGGGUGAUCGGCCACACUGGAACUGAGGCAGGGCCCAGACUCCUACGGGAGGAAGCAGUAGGGAAUCUUCCGCGAUGGGCGAAAGCCUGACGUAGCAACGCCGGGUGAGGGAUGAAGGUCUUCUGAUCGGAAAGCGCUGUUGGUAGGAAAGAAGAUAUGUGUAAGUAACCGUGCACAUCAUGACGGUACCGAAAGAAAAAGCCACGGCUAACUACGUG